rnacentral:rRNA from 1 species
UACGUAGGGUGCGAGCGUUAAUCGGAAUUACUGGGCGUAAAGUGUGCGCAGGUGGCCGCGCAAGUCGAGUGUGAAAUCCCCCGAGCUUAACUUGGGAAUUGCGCUCGAAACUACGUGGCUAGAGUGUGGCAGAGGGGAGGUGGAAUUCCACGUGUAGCGGUGAAAAUGCGUAGAGAUGUGGAGGAACACCAAUGGCGAAGGCAGCCUCCUGGGCCAACACUGACACUCAUGCACGAAAGCGUGGGGAGCAAACAGG